GUGAUAAGUAUAGUAGGCGUGGAAAUGCACCAAAUGGGAUUCUUAAGUAAUUGCCGAAUGAACAAGGAAAUGCUCAGCUUGAAAAAUGGGGCCUUUGGCUUUGAAUUGUAAUUUUGAAAUGUAUUGCCAAUGGAGGCGCAGGUGCAAGCCUAUUGAAAGAAAGCGUCAAUGAGGGUGAGAUUCCUUUUUGUCAUUUGCAGUCCUCCGUGCACGGUAUAUAUUUGACGAGUCACACUCCUCGGCAUUGGAAUGCAAAGUGGGUGGUAAAUUCCAUGUAAAGGUAAAUAUAUUAUUGAGACUGAUAGCAAACAAGUACCAUGAGGGAAAUAUGAAAAGGACUUUGAAAAGAGAAUUAAAAGAGUCUGCAUUUGCUGAACAGAAAGCAAACAGAAUUGAUUUUACUUGGUGAGAUUGUUGUGCUUACUCUAUCAUUUAUAUGGUUGAUGUGGGUGCGAUGGUUCUUACCUUGAAUGUCAGCUUCUAUUUCUGCAAAUCAUUACCCUUGCACAUGAAUGGUAAUUUGCCUGCGGGUAUUGGAAUGCAUGUGUUUGCAAUGAUUUGUGAUUUGACGCAUGUGUUUGGUGAAAUUUGUAUAUGCUCUUUUGUCGAAGGGGAAAGCUUACUUUUUUGAGCAUUGCAAGCCCUUACACAUCAGUGCUGGCAAAAUGUUC
rnacentral:rRNA from 1 species